rnacentral:lncRNA from 1 species
ACUUUGUAAAUAAUAUGUCAACCCAAUUAAAAAAUGAAUUUGAAGGACAAAUUAUAUUAAGUAACGGAACAAGCAAUUCACGAGGUGUUGCAAUUUGGAUAAAAAAACCACUAAAUUUGAAAUUAAUUGAUAGUUUUGAAGAUGAAGAAGGUAGAUUUCUACUUGUAAAUAUGGAAGUAAAUGACAACAUAUUAACUAUAGUUAAUUUAUAUGCACCUAAUAACCCACACACUAGAAAUAACUUUUUUAAAAACAUUAAAUUAUUAGUGGAUAAACAUAGCUUAGGACAAAUAAUCAUGGGAGGUGAUUUUAAUGACAUAUUAGCUCAAAUAGAUUCAAAAAAUAAAUCUAAACAAAUAAAAAAUAAAAAACCAGUCUGUAAUCU